rnacentral:rRNA from 1 species
AACGAACGCUGGCGGCAUGCCUAACACAUGCAAGUCGAACGAAGGCUUCGGCCUUAGUGGCGCACGGGUGAGUAACGCGUGGGAACCUGCCCUUUGGUACGGAAUAACAUCGGGAAACUGAUGCUAAUACCGUAUAUGGCUUUGGCUGAAAGAUAUAUCGCCGAAGGAGGGGCCCGCGUCUGAUUAGCUAGUUGGUGAGGUAAUGGCUCACCAAGGCGACGAUCAGUAGCUGGUCUGAGAGGAUGAUCAGCCACACUGGGACUGAGACACGGCCCAGACUCCUACGGGAGGCAGCAGUGGGGAAUAUUGGACAAUGGGCGCAAGCCUGAUCCAGCCAUGCCGCGUGAGUGAUGAAGGCCUUCGGGUUGUAAAGCUCUUUCGCACACGACGAUGAUGACGGUACCCGGAGAAGAAGCCCCGGCUAACUUCGUGCCAGCCGCCGCGGUAAGAC